rnacentral:rRNA from 1 species
GACGAACGCUGGCGGCGUGCUUAACACAUGCAAGUCGAACGAAGAGCGAUGGAAGCUUGCUUCUAUCAAUCUUAGUGGCGAACGGGUGAGUAACGCGUAAUCAACCUGCCCUUCAGAGGGGGACAACAGUUGGAAACGACUGCUAAUACCGCAUACGAUCUAAUCUCGGCAUCGAGGAUAGAUGAAAGGUGGCCUCUACAUGUAAGCUAUCACUGAAGGAGGGGAUUGCGUCUGAUUAGCUAGUUGGAGGGGUAGCGGCCCACCAAGGCGAUGAUCAGUAGCCGGUCUGAGAGGAUGAACGGCCACAUUGGGACUGAGACACGGCCCAGACUCCUACGGGAGGCAGCAGUGGGGAAUCUUCCGCAAUGGACGAAAGUCUGACGGAGCAACGCCGCGUGAGCGAUGACGGCCUUCGGGUUGUAAAGCUCUGUUAAUCGGGACGAAAGGCCUUCUUGCGAAUAGUGAGAAGGAUUGGCGGUACCGGAAUAGAAAGCCACGGCUAACUACGUG